UUCAAUAAUUAGUGUGACAACAGACGCCAUUAUGGCACGCUGUAUGAGCAGCCCGCAACCACCUGGAGAAAAUAGGGUCGCACGGUCAAUCGCGUUGAAAAAAAUAGGGUCGGCAGAAAAAAAUAGGGUCAGUCGGGAACCGGAACCACAGGUGUUUUUUUACGCCUUAGACAAAGUAAAAUAAUCUGGCAUUAGACAGAGUAAAAUAAUUAAGUAGGGCGCAUCAUGGGCGGAUUUAUGAGGGUUAACCCCCAUAACAUCUCUC